UACGGGGGGGGCAAGCGUUGUUCGGAAUUACUGGGCGUAAAGGGCUCGUAGGCGGCCAACUAAGUCAGACGUGAAAUCCCUCGGCUUAACCGGGGAACUGCGUCUGAUACUGGAUGGCUUGAGGUUGGGAGAGGGAUGCGGAAUUCCAGGUGUAGCGGUGAAAUGCGCAGAUAUCAGGAGGAACACCGGUGGCGAAGGCGGGUCUCUGGGCCGAUACUGACGCUGAGGAGCGAAAGCGUGGGGAGCAAACAGG
rnacentral:rRNA from 1 species